CUCCGGUUGAUCCUGCCGGACCCGACUGCUAUCAGAGUGGGACUAAGCCAUGCGAGUCAACAUAGCAAUAUGUGGCAUACGGCUCAGUAACACGUAGUCAACAUGCCCAGGGGACGUGGAUAACCUCGGGAAACUGAGGAUAAACCGCGAUAGGUCAUCACUUCUGGAAUGGGUAAUGACUUAAAUCUAUAUGGCCCCUGGAUUGGACUGCGGCCGAUCAGGCUGUUGGUGAGGUAAUGGCCCACCAAACCUGUAACCGGUACGGGCUCUGAGAGGAGGAGCCCGGAGAUGGGCACUGAGACAAGGGCCCAGGCCCUAUGGGGCGCAGCAGGCGCGAAACCUCUGCAAUAGGCGAAAGCUUGACAGGGUUACUCUGAGUGAUUUCCGUUAAGGAGAUCUUUUGGCACCUCUAAAAAUGGUGCAGAAUAGGGGGUGGGCAAGUCUGGUGUCAGCCGCCGCGGUAAUACCAGCACCCCGAGUGGUCGGGACGUUUAUUGGGCCUAAAGCAUCCGUAGCCGGUUCUACAAGUCUUCCGUUAAAUCCACCUGCUUAACAGAUGGGCUGCGGAAGAUACUAUAGAGCUAGGAGGCGGGAGAGGCAAGCGGUACUCGAUGGGUAGGGGUAAAAUCCGUUGAUCCAUUGAAGACCACCAGUGGCGAAGGCGGCUUGCCAGAACGCGCUCGACGGUGAGGGAUGAAAGCUGGGGGAGCAAACCGGAUUAGAUACCCGGGUAGUCCCAGCUGUAAACGAUGCAGACUCGGUGAUGAGUUGGCUUAUUGCUAACUCAGUGCCGCAGGGAAGCCGUUAAGUUUGCCACCUGGGGAGUACGGUCGCAAGACUGAAACUUAAAGGAAUUGGCGGGGGAGCA
rnacentral:rRNA from 1 species